CCUACGGGUGGCUGCAGUGAGGAAUAUUGGUCAAUGGGCGCGAGCCUGAACCAGCCACGUAGCGUGAAGGAUGACUGCCCUACGGGUUGUAAACUUCUUUUAUAAAGGAAUAAAGUGAGGCACGUGUGCCUGUUUGUAUGUACUUUAUGAAUAAGGAUCGGCGAACUCCGGGCCAGCAGCCGCGUUAAUACGGAGGUUCCGAGCGUUAUCCGGAUUUAUUGGGUUUAAAGGGAGCGUAGAUGGGUUGUUAAGUCAGUUGUGAAAGUUUGCGGCUCAACCGUAAAAUUGCAAUUGAUACUGGCAGUCUUGAGUACAGUUGAGGGAGGCGGAACUCGUGGUGUAGCGGUGAAAUGCUGAGAUAUCACGAAGAACUCCGAUUGCGAAGGCAGCUUACUAAACUGCCACUGACACUGAGGCUCGAAAGUGUGGGUAGCAAACAGGAUUAGAUACCCCUGUAGUC
rnacentral:rRNA from 1 species